UGUCUGGAAUGCAGAAAAGUCCAGGCAGGAAAAGCGGUCAUCUGAAACAAACAGUUAUUGAGUCCUUGAGGGCAGAACAGAUGAGAAGGAGAUGAGGUCACCUACUAAGGAUGAGGAGGUGGGCGUCAAGCAGGGUCCUUGAGAAGAUCAUGAGAAGCCGCUUACAAAAUGUGGAAGUGGGCUGCCCAGAGCAGGCGCAAGGACACUGAGAGACAUUUACUGAAUGCUGACUAUGCACUGGGAACAUCAGGUGAGAAUUCUUCGACCUAGAAAAAUCAAAGGCCUGCCCUCAAUCAGAUACCUCUCACAGAACCUGCCUUGGAAUCCAAUUCCACUGGUUACCAGAUGGUGGCUUUGUUCACGUCGACACAUUUCAUCUUCAGAGGAAAUGAAUGACAAAGCCAAAUGACAGAUGAAACCAAAGUAAAUCCCUCCCAUGUAUGUCACUGCAAAGACAUGCAUUAAAAGCAAAAAGAGGGAUCCCUGGGUGGCGCAGCGGUUUAGCACCUGCCUUUGGCCCAGGGCAUGAUCCUGGAGACCCGGGAUCGAAUCCCAUGUCGGGCUCCCGGUGCAUGGAGCCUG